rnacentral:rRNA from 1 species
GAUGAACGCUGGCGGCGUGCCUAAUACAUGCAAGUCGAGCGAACAGACGAGGAGCUUGCUCCUCUGACGUUAGCGGCGGACGGGUGAGUAACACGUGGAUAACCUACCUAUAAGACUGGGAUAACUUCGGGAAACCGGAGCUAAUACCGGGUAAUAUAUUGAACCGCAUGGUUCAAUAGUGAAAGACGGUUUUGCUGUCACUUAUAGAUGGAUCCGCGCCGCAUUAGCUAGUUGGUAAGGUAACGGCUUACCAAGGCAACGAUGCGUAGCCGACCUGAGAGGGUGAUCGGCCACACUGGAACUGAGGCACGGUCCAGACUCCUACGGGAGGCAGCAGUAGGGAAUCUUCCGCAAUGGGCGAAAGCUUGACGGAGCAACGCCGCGUGAGUGAUGAAGGUCUUCGGAUCGUAAAACUCUGUUAUUAGGGAAGAACAAAUGUGUAAGUAACUAUGCACGUCUUGACGGUACCUAAUCAGAAAGCCACGGCUAACUACGUG